rnacentral:rRNA from 1 species
UUCUUUAAAAUUAAAGAAUUUGGCGGUAUUUUAGUCUGUAAGAACCUGUUUUUUAAUCGAUAGUCCACGAUGAUUUAUACUUUUGUUUUUAAUUUGUAUAUCGUCGUUUAUAAAAAUUUUAUCAUAUAAUUUUUUCAGAUCAAGGUGCAGUUUAUAUAAAAGUUAAAAUGGGUUACAAUAAAAAUUUUAUUUAAAUUGGAUUUGACAGUAAGCUCUAAAAUAUGCACAUAUCGCCCGUCGCUUUCACUUUAAGGUGAAAUAAGUCGUAACAAAGUAGGCUUAUUGGAAAAUGAGCCUGGAAUGCAAAUUAGAGCUUGAUAAGCGUUUUAUUUACACUAAAAGGUUAAUUGUGAAAUUCAAUUUAAUUUGAACUUUUUCGGUUAUUAAAAUUUUUAUUUGGUUUGUUUUAUAAGAAGAAUAUUAUUUUUUAUUUUUUUUUUGAAAAAAUUUUAUUAUAGUAGAAUGUACUGUGAAGGAUUUAUGUUUUGUUUUUAAAAGAAGAUUUAAUUUAUUGUACCUUGUGUGUCAGGGUUUAUUAAUUUUUUCUUCCCGAAUUCAGAAGAGCUAUUUUUAAUGUAGAAUAAUUAUUUUAAAUAUGUUUAUAGAAAUGAAACGUUAUUCGUUUCUGAAUAUAUCUGGUUUUUCUAGAAAUUAAUUUAAUUUAUUUGCAUAUAGUAAUUUUUUUGGGGAUAAGCUUGUUUGUAAAUUUUUAAAAGGUUUUUUGAUGAUAUUUUAUAUAGGAUUAGAAUUUUCCAUUAUUUUAAGUAUGUUAUAUUUUAGGUCUUUAAUUUUUUAUAGAAAUUUAUUUUUUAAUUUUAUUUUUUUAGUAAUAAUGAUAUAAUUAGUAAGGUAGUAUAAAGGAAUUCGGCAAUUCAAAUUUCCACCUGUUUAUUAAAAACAUGUCCUUUUGAUUAUGAUUUAAGGUCUGACCUGCCCAAUGAUUAAAUGGCCGCAGUAUUCUGACUGUGCAAAGGUAGCAUAAUCAUUAGUUUCUUAAUUAGAAGCUGGAAUGAAUGGUUUGAUGAGAAAUUAGCUGUCUCUAGAAUUUUAUUUUUGAGUUAAAAAGCUCAAAUUUUAUAUAAAGACGAGAAGACCCUAUAGAGUUUUGUUGGGGUGAUGAAUAAAUUUAUUAAACUUUAUUUUUUUUUGGUUUUUUGAUCCUGGAUUAUAAGAAUAAAUUACCUUAGGGAUAACAGCGUAAUUUUUUCUGAAAGUUCUUAUUG